rnacentral:rRNA from 1 species
UACGGGGGGGGCAAGCGUUGUUCGGAAUUACUGGGCGUAAAGGGCUCGUAGGCGGCCAACUAAGUCAGACGUGAAAUCCCUCGGCUUAACCUGGGAAUGGCCGUUGAAACUGGCGAACUGGAGUGUGGCAGAGGGGGGUGGAAUUCCGCGUGUAGCAGUGAAAUGCGUAGAGAUGCGGAGGAACACCGAUGGCGAAGGCAGCCCCCUGGGCUAACACUGACGCUCAGGCACGAAAGCGUGGGGAGCAAACAGG